rnacentral:rRNA from 1 species
GACGAACGCUGGCGGCGUGCUUAACACAUGCAAGUCGAACGCUGAAGCUCAGCUUUUGUUGGGUGGAUGAGUGGCGAACGGGUGAGUAACACGUGAGUAACCUGCCCCCUUCUUUGGGAUAACGCCCGGAAACGGGUGCUAAUACUGGAUAUUCACUGGUCUUCGCAUGGGGGUUGGUGGAAAGGGUUUUUCUGGUGGGGGAUGGGCUCGCGGCCUAUCAGCUUGUUGGUGGGGUGAUGGCCUACCAAGGCUUUGACGGGUAGCCGGCCUGAGAGGGUGACCGGUCACAUUGGGACUGAGAUACGGCCCAGACUCCUACGGGAGGCAGCAGUGGGGAAUAUUGCACAAUGGGCGCAAGCCUGAUGCAGCGACGCCGCGUGAGGGAUGGAGGCCUUUGGGUUGUGAACCUCUUUCGCUCAUGGUCAAGCCGCAACAAUGGUUGUGGUGAGCGUAGUGGGUAAAGAAGCGCCGGCUAACUACGUG